GCUCUUGGCAUUCACAGUCAGUACAGCAUGAGACUCUUAAUCUCAGAGUUGUGGGUUCAAGCCCCAUGUUGAGCG